AAGUCGUAACAAGGUUUCCGUAGGUGAACCUGCGGAAGGAUCAUUAAAAGUGCCCCGUCCGAACCCAUAAGGAUCUGGGGACCACACCACUGACCUGCACGUCCCCGCCCUGGCGGGUGGGCACGUGUCGAAGUUGUGGUUUAUGUGUCCACCCUAUGUGAAACUUGGAAACUUUGCUUCGGCAGCACCUUGCGGGCGACCGCUCGGGUAAGGCUGCCAGAGGCCCACCUGAAACUAGUUGAUGAAAUGUCAUGCUGUCUGAUACUUUGCAAUUUGAGAAAUCAAAUGAUAUUAAAACUUUCAGCAACGGAUCUCUUGGUUCCC
rnacentral:misc_RNA from 1 species